rnacentral:rRNA from 1 species
AAUCCUGGCUCAGGAUGAACGCUGGCGGCGUGCCUAACACAUGCAAGUCGAACGGAACUAUUUUGGAAACUCCUUCGGGAGCGGAAUCUUUAGUUUAGUGGCGGACGGGUGAGUAACGCGUGAGCAAUCUGCCUUUAAGAGGGGGAGUAACAGUCGGAAACGGCUGCUAAUACCGCAUAAAGCAUCAAAUUCGCAUGUUUUUGAUGCCAAAGGAGCAAUCCGCUUUUAGAUGAGCUCGCGUCUGAUUAG